rnacentral:rRNA from 1 species
GUGGAUUAGAUUCCCUAGUAGUCCACGCCCUAAACGAUGUCGACUGGGUGUCGGGAGAGAGAUCUCUUGGUACCGUAGCUAACGCGUGAAGUCGACCGCCUGGGGAGUACGGCCGCAAGGUUAAAACUCAAAGGAAUUGACGGGGACCCGCACAAGCGGUGGAUGAUGUGGAUUAAUUCGAUGCAACGCGAACAACCUUACCUACCCUUGACAUGUCCGGAACCCUGCCGAGAGGCGGGGGUGCCCGAAAGGGAAUCGGAACACAGGUGCUGCACGGCUGUCGACAACU